GGGUAAUGUCUGGGAAACUGCCUGAUGGAGGGGGAUAACUACUGGAAACGGUAGCUAAUACCGCAUAACGUCGCAAGACCAAAGAGGGGGACCUUCGGGCCUCUUGCCAUCGGAUGUGCCCAGAUGGGAUUAGCUAGUAGGUGGGGUAACGGCUCACCUAGGCGACGAUCCCUAGCUGGUCUGAGAGGAUGACCAGCCACACUGGAACUGAGACACGGUCCAG
rnacentral:rRNA from 1 species